rnacentral:rRNA from 1 species
CACGGAGUUAGCCGAUCCUUAUUCUUACGAUACCGUCAAGCUCCUACACGUAGGAGUGUUUCUUCUCGUACAAAAGCAGUUUACAAUCCAUAGGACCGUCAUCCUGCACGCGGCAUGGCUGGAUCAGGCUUGCGCCCAUUGUCCAAUAUUCCUCACUGCUGCCUCCCGUAGGAGUCUGGUCCGUGUCUCAGUACCAGUGUGGGGGAUCUCCCUCUCAGGACCCCUACCCAUCGUAGCCUUGGUAAGCCGUUACCUUACCAACAAGCUAAUGGGACGCAUGCUCAUCUUUCACCGUUGUGACUUUAAUAGUUCAACCAUGCGGCUGUACUAUACUAUGAGGUAUUAAUCCAAAUUUCUCUGGGCUAUCCCUCUGUGAAAGGCAGAUUGCAUACGCGUUACGCACCCGUGCGCCGGUCUCUAGCACCGAAGCGCUAUACCCCUCGACUUGCAUGUGUUAAGCCUGCCGCUAGCGUUCAUCCUGAGCCA